rnacentral:lncRNA from 1 species
AGAUACAUGAAACUUUAUAUAUGAGAGAGCGUAUCGAGUAGUGUAUCAAAGAGGAAAGGGGUGACUGUUGGAAACAUAUAAGAAAAGAAAUGAAAUUGGAAGUGUACAUUUCAUUAUACACACAAAAAAAUAAAUUCCAGUUGAAUACGAAUCUAAAUAUGAAAGAAACCUCAAAUACCAUGAAGAGACUGCCUUUCUUAUCUUAGGAUGGAGAAGAAUUUCAUAAUGAAGACACAAAGAGUUCUUCAUAAAAGAACAUCAAGAAAAUUUUAUUAAAAUUUAAAACUGUUCAUCAAAAUAUACAAUAAAGUGAAAGUAUAAACCACAAACUAGGAGGAGAUACAUUCAACACAUAAAACUUAUACCAAUUGGUAUCCAGAACCUCCAAAGAACUACAAACCAGUAAGAAAAAAAAAAAUAGAAAAAUGAGCAAAUAAAAUGAAAAGACAUUUUACAGAAGAAGAAACAGUGUGGUCAAUAAACAUAUACAAAAAUAUUCAACCCGUCUUAAUGUAACCAGAAAAGCACAAAAAGGGUUUAAUGAGGUACCAUUUCAUACCUGUAGAUUAGCAAAAACUAAGAAGUCAAACAAUAUCUUUAUCAGUCAAAAAAAUGAAAAACAUAAAGUUAACAGAGAGAAUUAAUAUGGAGAAUUUGUUACAUGGUGUUGAAGUACAGAAAAAACAAAAAGGAAAUACAGGGGUGUAGCACAAAGUUACUGCAGGAGGCAGUUACUACCUCUUACCUGUUAGACUAGAGGAAUGAAAGAAAGUGGUAGGGGUUAUCAUAACUUCGAAGCUGAAAGAGACAAACUAGAGAGUUAGGACCCAGACUUUUGCCUUACUGCUACUGUUUUUCAGGAGUACAGAGGAAGGAUCCAAGGAGCAAGACACAGAAUUCUGAGGAGGAUGUUCCAUUGGCUGCUACUGGCUGUGGAAACUAGAAAACCACAGCUAUAACCAACUGCUGCUGCUAAGGUGAGAUCCCAUAUUUGGAAUUACAUUGACAAGAAUGCCAAACAAACAAGAAAGAAAGUCCCUUAUGCCUCCUCCUACUUUCCAAACUCUCUCAUGUACCCAACCUUAGCAGAAACCAAAAGGAUGCAAGCUGGCAAACAAACAAAAACAAAAACAAAAACCUAUAGUUUUGAUCGUACUAGCUCCAUCAAUAAGUCAGUACAUAC